GACGAACGCUGGCGGCGUGCUUAACACAUGCAAGUCGAACGGUUAAGGGAUCAGCUUGCUGGUUCUGGAUGAGUGGCGAACGGGUGAGUAACACGUGAGUAACCUGCCCCCUUCUUCUGGAUAACCGCAUGAAAGUGUGGCUAAUACGGGAUAUUCUGGGUCUGUCGCAUGAUGGGUCUGGGAAAGAUAUUGAUUCGGUGGUGGAUGGGCUCGCGGCCUAUCAGCUUGUUGGUGGGGUGAUGGCCUACCAAGGCGGUGACGCUUAGCCGGGCUGAGAGGGUGGCCGGUCACACUGGGAAUGAGACACAGCCUAGAAUGCUACGGGAGGCAGCAGUGGGGAAUAUUGCACAAUGGGCGCAAGCCUGAUGCAGCGACGCCGCGUGAGAGAUGGAGGCCUUCGGGUUGUAAACCUCUUUCGCCAGUGAAGCAGGCCUGCUACGUGUGGGUGGGUUGACGGUAGCUGGAGAAGAAGCGCCGGCUAACUACGUG
rnacentral:rRNA from 1 species